GCCGCCGUAGCUCAGGGGUAGAGCACACCCUUGGUAAGGGUGGGGUCGGAGGUUCAAUUCCUCCCGGCGGCACCA
rnacentral:tRNA from 1 species